rnacentral:rRNA from 1 species
AUUGAACGCUGGCGGCAGGCCUAACACAUGCCAGUCGCGCGGAGCGGCGGACGGGUGAGUAAUGCCCAGGCAUCUGCCUGGUAGUGGGGGAUAACAUCCGGAAACGGGCGAUAAUACCGCAUACUAUCAGAUGAGCCUCGGUCGGAUUAGCUAGUUGGUGGGGUAAAGUCCUACAAAGGAGAGGAUCCGUAACUGGUCUGAGAGGAUGAUUAGUAACACUGGAACUGAGACACGGUCCAUACUCCUACGUGAGGAAGCAGUGGGGAAUAUUGGACAAUGGGUGAAAGCCUGAUCCGGCCAUGCCGAGUGUGUGAAGAAGGUCUUCGGAUUGUAAAGCACUUUAAUUUGGGAGGCGUUACCAACAGAAUAAGCACCGGCUAACUGCGUGCCAGCAGCCGCGGUAAUAC